rnacentral:rRNA from 1 species
AUGACGCUCAUGCACGAAAGCGUGGGGAGCCAAACAGGAUUAGAUACCCUGGUAGUCCACGCCCUAAACGAUGUCGACUAGUCGUUCGGAGAGGUAACUCACUGAGUGACGCAGCUAACGCGUGAAGUCGACCGCCUGGGGAGUACGGCCGCAAGGUUAAAACUCAAAGGAAUUGACGGGGACCCGCACAAGCGGUGGAUGAUGUGGAUUAAUUCGAUGCAACGCGAAAAACCUUACCUACCCUUGACAUGCCUGGAAUCCUUGAGAGAUCAGGGAGUGCCUUCGGGAACCAGGACACAGGUGCUGCAUGGCUGUCGUCAGCUCGUGUCGUGAGAUGUUGGGUUAAGUCCCGCAACGAGCGCAACCCUUGUCGCUAAUUGCCAUCAUUUGGUUGGGCACUUUAGCGAGACUGCCGGUGACAAACCGGAGGAAGGUGGGGAUGACGUCAAGUCCUCAUGGCCCUUAUGGGUAGGGCUUCACACGUCAUACAAUGGUCGGUACAGAGGGCUGCCAAAGCGCGAGCUGGAGCCAAUCCCUUAAAGCCGAUCGUAGUCCGGAUCGUAGUCUGCAACUCGACUACGUGAAGUCGGAAUCGCUAGUAAUCGCGGAUCAGCAUGCUGCGGUGAAUACGUUCCCGGGUCUUGCACACACCGCCCGUCACACCAUGGGAGUGGGUUUCACCAGAAGUAGGUAGCUUAA